rnacentral:tRNA from 1 species
GGGCGCGUAGCUCAAUGGAAGAGCAGUGGCCUUUUAAGCCAUUGGUUGAGAGUUCGAGCCUCUCCGCGCUCA